rnacentral:rRNA from 1 species
UGAUAACUCGCUGUCGGCGAUACACAGUCGGUGGCCAAGCGAAAGCGAUAAGUUAUCCACCUGGGGAGUACGACCGCAAGGUUGAAACUCAAAGGAAUUGACGGGGGCCCGCACAAGCGGAGGAACAUGUGGUUUAAUUCGAUGAUACGCGAGGAACCUUACCCGGGCUCGAACGGUGCAUGAAUAGAUCAGAGAUGGAUUAGUCCUUCGGGACAUGUAUCGAGGUGCUGCAUGGUUGUCGUCAGCUCGUGCCGUGAGGUGUCGGCUUAAGUGCCAUAACGAGCGCAACCCUUGUCGUUAGUUGCCAUCAGGUAAUGCUGGGAACUCUAGCGAGACUGCCACCGUAAGGUGCGAGGAAGGGGGGGAUGACGUCAAAUCAGCACGGCCCUUACGUCCGGGGCGACACACGUGUUACAAUGGCAGGUACAGAGGGCAGCUACCCAGCGAUGGGGUGCGAAUCUCGAAAGCCUGUCUCAGUUCGGAUCGGAGUCUGCAACUCGACUCCGUGAAGUUGGAUUCGCUAGUAAUCGCGCAUCAGCCAUGGCGCGGUGAAUACGUUCCCGGGCCUUGUACACACCGCCCGUCAAGCCAUGGAAGCUGGGGGUGCCUGAAGUUCGUUACCGCAAGGAGCGACCUAGGGCAAAACUGGUAACUGGGGCUAAGUCGUAACAAGGUAGCCGUACCGGAAGGUGUGGCUGGAUCACCUCCUU